GGUGGGAAAGCUCCGACCAGCAAGGCCAUAUGCUCCCCCUCCCCUACCUAAAGCCCCAAAUAAAAACCCUUCCUUUUAGCUUUUCGGAGAGUUUGGGAUUUAAGCGUUAGCUGCCCUCUCUCCUUGCUCAGCGCUGUGCAAAAAAAUAAAAUUCCUACUUUCUUCCACCACACCCGGUGUCAGACAUUGGCUUGCUGCGCAACCAGUGUAGCAACUAAAAGCUCUGGAAAUCUUUUAAACAAAGGACGCCUGCCACAGCAUGGCUUGACAAGCUGUGCCUAGGUCCACACCCAGGAUCUGAACUGGCGAACCAGGAUCAGCCACUGAAGCACAACAUGUGAACUUAACUGCUACGCCACUGGGCUGGCCCCUGUCCUGUUUUAAAUAAAAGACAGAAAUUAUCAUAGAGAAAUUUGACAUCCUUUUACCUCUUGCUCCAUACCCCAGAGUCCCAUUACCCAUCUCCUCUCCCUAAAGGCAAUCACUACCAUAAUAUGUUUGUAUUUUUCCAGUACAUUUUUUUUACAUUUUAGACACAUUAAAUUACUUUAUAUUUUCUACAUAUUAUGCAAAUUAUAUUACUUUAGCAAUAUAAAGUAUUACACUGAGUGUGCUUAAACUUACAUAAACAGUAUGCUAUGGCUGUAUCAAUUUGUUUUCAC
rnacentral:lncRNA from 1 species